rnacentral:rRNA from 1 species
GACGAACGCUGGCGGCAUGCCUAAUACAUGCAAGUCGAGCGAACGGAUGAAGUGCUUGCACUUCUGACGUUAGCGGCGAACGGGUGAGUAACACGUAAGGAAUCUACCUAUAAGCGGGGGAUAACAUUCGGAAACGGGUGCUAAUACCGCAUAAUAUCUUCUUCCGCAUGGAAGAAGAUUGAAAGACGGCUCUGCUGUCACUUAUAGAUGACCUUGCGGUGCAUUAGUUAGUUGGUGGGGUAACGGCCUACCAAGACGAUGAUGCAUAGCCGACCUGAGAGGGUGAUCGGCCACAUUGGGACUGAGACACGGCCCAAACUCCUACGGGAGGCAGCAGUAGGGAAUCUUCCGCAAUGGGCGAAAGCCUGACGGAGCAAUGCCGCGUGAGUGAAGAAGGCCUUCGGGUCGUAAAACUCUGUUAUAAGAGAAGAACAAAUUGUAGAGUAACUGCUACAGUCUCGACGGUAUCUUAUCAGAAAGCCACGGCUAACUACGUGCCAGCCGCCGCAGUAA